CAGUAGCCGCGGGAAUACGUAGGUGGCAAGCGUUGUCCGGAAUUAUUGGGCGUAAAUCGCGCGCAGGCGGAUCGGUCAGUCUGUCUUAAAAGUUCGGGGCUUAACCCCGUGAUGGGAUGGAAACUGCCAAUCUAGAGUAUCGGAGAGGAAAGUGGAAUUCCUAGUGUAGCGGUGAAAUGCGUAGAUAUUAGGAAGAACACCAGUGGCGAAGGCGACUUUCUGGACGAAAACUGACACUGAGGCGCGAAAGCGUGGGGAGCAAACAGGAUUAGAUACCCCGGUAGUCCCUGUCUCUUAUACA
rnacentral:rRNA from 1 species